UGCANGUCGNNCGGUAAGGUCUCUUCGGAGAUACACGAGCGGCGGACGGGUGAGUAACACGUAGGAAUCUGCCCCAGAGCGGGGGACAACCAAGAGAAAUCUUGGCUAAUACCCCAUACGACUUCGGUUAAAAGAUUUAUCACUUUGGGAGGAGCCCGCGUUUGAUUAGCUUGAUGGUGUGGUAAAAGCACACCAUGACGACGAUCAAUAGCUGGUCUGAGAGGAUGAUCAGCCACAAUGGGACUGAGAUACGGCCCAUACUCCUACGGGAGGCAGCAGUAGGGAAUCUUGCGCAAUGGGCGAAAGCCUGACGCAGCAAUACCGUGUGCGGGAAGACGCUCUGUGGAGUGUAAACCGCUGUCAGAUGGGACGAACACAAUGACUGUACCAUCAAAGGAAGCACCGGCUAACUCUGUGCCAGCAGCCGCGGUAAUACAGAGGGUGCAAGCGUUGUCCGGAUUUAUUGGGCGUAAAGCGUCUGUAGGUGGUUUAGUAAGUCUGAAGUGAAAGAACGGAGCUCAACUCCGUCCCCGCUCCAGAAACUAUUAAACUAGAGAAUGUUAGAAGUAAAUGGAAUUUCCAGUGUAGCGGUGAAAUGCGUAGAUNUUGGAAGGAACACCAGANGCGAAAGCGGUUUACUGGGACNUUUCUGACACUGAGAGACGAAAGCGUGGGUAGCGAAAGGGANUAGAUACCCCUGUAGUCCACGCCGUAAACGAUGAGUACUAGUUGUCAUGGGAAUCGACCCCCGUGGNAACGAANCUANCGCGUUNAGUACUCCGCCUGANUAGUACGUACGCAAGUAUGAAACUCAAAGGAAUUGA
rnacentral:rRNA from 1 species